rnacentral:lncRNA from 1 species
AUUAUUGUAUACCUGUCUAUUAUGCAUGUCUUUUGCAUAAAUGUUAUUUUAAAUUGGUGCUUUACAUCUUUUUUUUUAUUGCAUUAGCCAGAACUCUUCCUGAGACACAAUUCUUUUUUAAAAUAAAAUUUCAUAAGGUUACAUUGAUUUGUAAUACAUGUUUUUAACUCCCCAGGUUUUAAAACCAAUCUGAAAUACUGCCUUCCUUUAUUCCCUGUCAUAUGUCAAUGUUUUUCCAAAUGCUUUAUUCUGUAAAAACUAAAAAAAUACAGAAUAAAUAAUUGAGGAUAUCUUAAAAAAAAAUAAUUUGUGGCUCAAAAAAUAAUGUUCAUCUUUUUCCUCAACAGUCCUACACUUUAUGCUGAUCAAUUGACAAAGGAAGUCCUUUGCUUACUGCCUUGAAGAAUGAGGAUAGACGAUAUCAACCUUUUAAAGCAAUAUAAUAGUCAAACCUCUAAUAGGUUCUAAAGAAAUAAUUACUUGUUUGUUUUAGCUACACAAUAUUUGGUGCAUUGCAAGUUUCUAAGGGAGAAAACUUCUCAAGGAACAUUCAAAUUUCAGGGAUCUCCAUGGCCUGUUUAACGAUGGUGCCCCGCCAUCGUUCAAAUGUCUUGUGCCAUCGUCAAAUGAAUUGCGCCAUCGUUAAAUUGUCUUGCGCCAUCGUUAAAUUGUCUUCCACAUCGUUCAAAACUUCAUCGUUUUUUGCAGCCUGACGCCAUUUUUUUUAUCAAUUAUAAUCAAAUGCAUGUAAUUGCAUAACCCUUAGGCUUUUUAUGUUAUAAUCCAAUACAGUUCUAACGCCUGAGGGAUAUCCGGAUUAAGAUCGCUUAUCACUUGUACCUGAGCUUGUACAGGUAUAUCAACAAACCAGACAGGAGAAUACUAUCUGAGGAUAGACGAUCUAUUUGUCGAAUUAAUCAACUAAGUUUCAACAAAUGAUUAUGAUAAUUUAGAUUAAAUAAAUAAAUUAAUAAUCCAGUUAGGCAGCAACCAUUUGAUUUUCUGGGGGGG